UGCCAGGCCAUGUGCCACACACAGCUCUGGUCUCCAACAGAGGGGAAUAGUUGUGGGCUUACGGCCACUGGCCGCCUCAUGCGCCACAACAUCUGCCGCCUGAGGUAAUUGCCUCAGUCUGCCUAAUGGUAGGACCAGCCCUGUGCCCAAAUCACUUUUGGUUGUGAGUAGGGGCCACAAAUAUUGACUAUAGUUAAGCCAAAACAUGAUGGCAAGGUUACUAUAUUUUUUGUUGUGGGCUGCCCUGUUAUCUUUGGAAUUAAGGGUGAUAUGAUAAACAAACAAACAAAGCGCUUGUAUGGAAAACAGCCUUUGGAAACUGUUCAAGGGAACCAGUUCUUCUUCUUCUUUGGCAAUCACAUUUACCUCAGAAUAGAAGCCACUAGGCUGCUCACUAGGAGCACCCAUUUUGAAUGCAUCUCACCAGAGUUUAAAGGGUUGUACUGCCUUCUUGUCUGCUCCCAGUCACAAUUCAAAGUGUUGCUGCUCACUUUUAAAUCCCUGCAUGGCUUUUGGACCUGGGUACCUGAGGGAUCCACACAUUUCAAACUCAAUACUGGGCUAGGUUCAAGGUUCAUGUAUGAAUAUAUGAAGCCCUGACCCCUUUAUAUAUCCCAGCUCAAUUACUGAGGUAAUCUGGAGGAGCUUCGUUAGUUAUACACAUACGUACCGUCCAUUUCGGAUCGGAAACCCGGGUGAGUCACGUGACCCACACCACAAUUUCACCCCGGAAAAAAAGUGGACAAGAGCACAACACCCAAAAUGGCUGCCUUGAUCUCAUGUGAAAAAAUGAGUUGUCAUUUUUUCCCCUCAGGACACUUGACAGGUAUGUACAUAUUUCUGGCCUGAUCCAUUAGGCCUCUUAUGUGCUAAGAGUAUUAUUGAUAUUCAGGCAUCUCUUGAAGACCAACAGGCCUAUUCAUUUGUUUUAACUCAAAAGAUGAGCCAGCCCUUUUUAAUGAUUGUUUUGUUUUUAUGGUGUUUUAUACUUGUAUUUUAUUCUGCCUAUUGAUCACUGCCUUGAUAUAUGAGUGGGCAGCUUAUAUAUACAUAGUGUGCGUGCAUGACUUUUUUUUUUUAAUGCUACUGUUUUAUUUAUUUACGGCUCUUCUUUUAUUACCAUUGCUUAAUUGCUUAAUUGCUUUUUGCUUUGAUUUUAUAGCUGUAAGCUGCCCUGUUUUUUUGUUUUGCUUUUUACACUGAAGGGCAAUGGAUAGCUAAAACUCAUCCAUUGCCCUGUCUUCAUUCCUCUAUCCUCCCCGCCCCCCCGCCCCCCGCAGGAGGAAAUGCAUCUGAUCGGAAGGCUAAUUAAGCUGGCGUCAUUUGCAUAGUCAGUAAGACAUUGUGGUAUGCUAAGAAUGCUUCCCAGAAUUCCCAGGCUGUGAUACAGUAUCUCUUUAGGAAAGGUGGAAUUAUGCAUAACAUCCCACACUGUAACUCUCUGGUACAGGUUUUGAUUCUUAUCUUCAAGCCUUGGAAUUCCUCCAGCAAUCCAUUUGCCCAAGGAACAAAAGGAAGCUCCCACCUUUGCAUAUUUGCAUGCUCAUCAUUCCAGGUAUGAAUGAAAUCUCCACCUGCUGAGAAAUUCCCACAUCAUUCCACGAGUUCCAGGAAAGGAAAACACCCAAUCUUCCUUGGUUCACAUUUGCAUGAUCACUAUCCCUAGAAUAAUACGUAUUGCGAGAAGAGCUCAGCAUUUUCUCACUCUCUCAUUCCAGUUCGUCAACAACAAGAUCUGCAGCAGAAUAACCCCAC
rnacentral:lncRNA from 1 species